rnacentral:rRNA from 1 species
GGGUAAGUACGGUCCGGCAGCUGUGGUAAAACGUAGGGUGCGAUGGGUAAGCUGAAUUACUGGGCGUGAAGCGGGAGGAGACGGUUACGUAAGCAGGAUGUGAAAUCCCCGGGCUCAACCUGGGAACUGCGUUCUGAACUGGGUGACUAGAGGGUGUCAGAGUGAGGUAGAAUUCCACGUGUAGCAGUGAAAUGCGUAGAGAUGUGGAGGAAUACCGAUGGCGAAGGCAGCCUCCUGGGAUAACACUGACGUUCAUGCUCGAAAGCGUGGGUAGCAAACAGGAUUAGUACCCUGGUAGUC